CACGCCACCGGGCCGUCAGGGUCUUAUUUCUCCUGCGCCAGCCGGCAAGAGGUUCGACCCGAGCGAAGCGAGAGAACGUUGCUUCAGCAACGGCCCGCAGGGCGAGCCACGCAGUGGCGAGUCAUCCUCUAUCACCGACCA
rnacentral:sRNA from 1 species